GACGAACGCUGGCGGCGUGCUUAACACAUGCAAGUCGAACGAGGCCCAACUGAUGGCAACAUCAGGGAAGGCCUAGUGGCGAACGGGUGCGUAACACGUGAGGAACUUACCCCGAUCUCUGGGAUAACAGUUGGAAACGACUGCUAAUACCGGAUGCCGUCGCAGCAUCGCAUGGUGCAGUGACGAAAGGGCUACCGGAUCGGGAGAGCCUCGCGGCCUAUCAGCUUGUUGGUGGGGUAAUGGCCUACCAAGGCAUCGACGGGUAGCUGGUCUGAGAGGAUGAUCAGCCACACUGGGACUGAGACACGGCCCAGACUCCUACGGGAGGCAG
rnacentral:rRNA from 1 species